ACCUGUCAGGGUUCAGGUGGUUUAGGUCUGAACGUGUCAGAGUUCAGGUGGUUUAGGUAUGAACCUGUCAGGGUUCAGGUGGUUUAGGUAUGAACCUGUCAGGGUUCAGGUGGUUUAGGUCUGAACUUGUCAGGGUUCAGAUGGUUUAGGUAUGAACUUGUCAGGGUUCAGAUGGUUUAGGUCUGAACUUGUCAGGGUUCAGAUGGUUUAGGUCUGAACUUGUCAGGGUUCAGGUGGUUUAGGUCUGAACUUGUCAGGGUUCAGGUGGUUUAGGUAUGAACUUGUCAGGGUUCAGGUGGUUUAGGUAUGAACUUGUCAGGGUUCAGAUGGUUUAGGUCUGAACUUGUCAGGGUUCAGGUGGUUUAGGUAUGAACUUGUCAGGGUUCAGGUGGUUUAGGUAUGAACUUGUCAGGGUUCAGGUGGUUUAGGUAUGAACUUGUCAGGGUUCAGAUGGUUUAGGUCUGAACUUGUCAGGGUUCAGGUGGGCUUAGGUAUGAACUUGUCAGGGUUCAGGUGGUUUAGGUAUGAACUUGUCAGGGUUCAGGUGGUUUAGGUAUGAACUUGUCAGGGUUCAGGUGGUUUAGGUAUGAACUUGUCAGGGUUCAGGUGGUUUAGGCAUGAACUAGUCAGGGUUCAGGUGGUUUAGGUAUGAACUUGUCAGGGUUCAGGUGGUUUGGGUAAAACGUGUUUUGGCACUAAAGCAAAAAGCUGUUUUUGUUUUUAGUGUUUUUUCAAGUAACUAAGGUCAAACUUGGAAAUAUUAUUGUGAAACCACAAGGUACGGGCACAAUUUAGGCGUAGGGGAAGGACUAUGUUUAUGUUUUGUAGUUAGUAAUAGUUUAAUUACUCAUUGGCUGUACACAGUGCAUACAAGUAGAACAGUAGCGAAACAAUCCGGACAUUUUGUCUAGUUUUUUUCUCCCCCUUACAUUCCUUCUCCUCCUCGUCUGUCUGUCUGUCCGUCCGUCCGUCCGUCAGUCCGUCCGUCCGUCCGUCCGUCUUUCUCUAAUCUCCAACAGUCCAUGACACCCCCCCGUUUCCCUCUGUGAGUCUAGAGGCUAGAGGAGAUACUCUGACGCCUGUGCAUAUUCUUAGCCUGCUGUAACCCUAUCUGUUUACUGUGUGGUGCAGUAUGGGAGGCUUUAAUGAGGUUGAUGGUGGGGAGCUUUUCCUGAACUUACCAUUUGUCGGAAGAAAGCUUUACCGUCUAGGUUGAGCCUGAUGUUUUGGCUGUGUGCAAAUGAGCUGUCGAUGCAUCAAGCUGUCAAAACACACGCACACAGGCACACACACACAUAGAUAAAUACACGCACACACACACACACACACACACACACACACACACACACACACACACACACACACACACACACACACACACACACACACACACACACACACACACACACACACACACACACACACACACACACACACACACACACGGUGGUCUUAUGUGACCCCUAGCCCCGGGUGACAGGAUGCCAGAGGGCAUCUCUGUUUCCCUGCUUGUCCCAAAAAUCAUAUUACCCAGAAUAUGACACCUCUAUGACACCCCUACCAUCUCACUAGCUUAUUGCGGCUGUUCUGUCAAAGUGGCACACCUACCCCAUUCAGUACAUAGACAGCCUUAUCACAGAGGAUACACCAGAAGGUACAGUGGUGGCGAUAACAUGGAGAUGGUUGAACUCUGUUUACCAUUACACACAACUGGGUUUAUCUGUAUCAGAGUCACUACAACACAUCUGCUGGAUCCAUAUUGGCGUUAAACCCCAGACAGCUGUUCUGUUGCUUAGUCGACACGUGUCUGACUGACUGACUGACUGACUGUCUGUCUGGAUGAUCCAGCUCACGUUGGUCCUGACACUCAGACAGACAGUCAGAUAGACAGUCAGUUAGACAGACAAUCAGUCAGAUGGACAGACAGUCAGACAGACAGUCAGAAAGGUCAGACAGUCAGUCAGACAGUCAGAUAGACAGACAGUUAGACAGACAAUCAGUCAGAUAGACAGAAAGUUAGACAGACAAUCAGUCAGAUAGACAGACAGUUAGACAGACAAUCAGUCAGACGGACAGACAGUCAGACAGACAGUCAGAAAGGUCAGACAGUUAGAAGGUCAGAUGGUCAGAAAUGUCAGACAGUCAAUCAGAUAGACAGUCAGAAAGGUCAGACAGUCAGUCAGACAGUCAGAUAGACAGACAGUUAGACAGACAAUCAGUCAGAUAGACAGACAGUUAGACAGACAAUCAGUCAGAUAGACAGACAGUUAGACAGACAAUCAGUCAGACGGACAGACAGUCAGACAGACAGUCAGAAAGGUCAGACAGUUAGAAGGUCAGAUGGUCAGAAAUGUCAGACGGUCAGUCAGUCAGUCAUUCAGAAAGACAGUCAGUCAUACAGACAGUCAAUCAGACAGACAGUCAGAAAGGUCAGUCAGACAGUCAGAAAGGUCAGACGGUCAGUCAGACAGUCAGAAAGGUCAGACAGUCAGUCAGUCAUUCAGAAAGGUCAGACAGUCAGUCAGACAGUCAAUCAGUCAGACAGUCAGUCAUACAGACAGUCAAUCAGACAGACAGUCAGACAGUCAAUCAGUCAGACAGUCAGUCAUACAGACAGUCAAUCAGACAGACAGUCAGACAGUCAGACAGUCAGACAGUCAGAAAGGUCAGACAGACAGUCAGACAGUCAGAAAGGUCAGACAGACAGUGAGACAGUCAGAAAGGUCAGUCAGACAGUCAGACAGUCAGACAGUCAGACAGACAGUCAGACAGUCAGACAGUCAGACAGACAGUCAGACAGUCAGAAAGGUCAGACAGAUUGAUUUCUUCCUGGUUUCUCUCAUUCUCUCUCCUUCCAGCCUCACCAGUAACUCUGCUCAGGUUGUGAUUCAGAUCUCCCAGUAAUGGUUUAAUUCUCUCCGCCAGUCUCUCCUCAGGCUCAGAUGGAUCCCGCCUGAUCCCGUCUGAUCCUGUCUGAUCCCGUCCCUGCGUCCCAAAUGGCACCAUAUUCCCUAUGUGCACUCUUAGAAUAUAAGGUGUUAUCUAGAACCUAAAAUGGUUAUUUGGCUGUCCCCAUAGGAGAGAACCUUCUGGUUUCAUGUAGAAAGGGUUCUACAUGGAACCAGAACGUUUUCUCCUAUGGGGACAGCCAAAGAACUCUUUUGGAACCCUUUUUUCUUAGGGUGUAGUGCACUAAUUUUGACCAGGGCUGAUGGGGCUUUGGUCAAAACUAGUGCACUAUGUCGGGAAUAGGGUGCCAUUUGGGAUGGAGGCCAUCUUAUGCUCCUAUCAGUGAGUGUUUCGUAAUAAUGCACAGCCGUUAGCACCGUGGUGCUGUAAAUAUGUAAUCUACACUGGUCCACUGGUCCUAUAUAGGACAUGUGAACUGGACAAUGUGCACGUACCAUUAGGAUGCUUUGCUUGACUGUGUUGGACUAUAUUGUUGUCCGACUGUGUUAGACAGACUGUGUUGUUGUCCGACUGUGUUAGACAGACUGUGUUGUUGUCCAACUCUGUUAGACAGACUGUGUUGUUGUCCGACUGUGUUAGACAGACUGUGUUGUUGUCCGACUGUGUUAAACAGACUGUGUUGUUGUCCGGCUGUGUUAGACAGACUGUGUUGUUGUCCUAUUCUGUUAAACAGACUGUGUUGUUGUCCGACUCUGUUAAACAGACUGUGUUGUUGUCCAACUCUGUUAAACAGACUGUGUUGUUGUCCGACUGUGUUGUUGUCCGACUGUGUUGUUGUCCGACUCUGUUAAACAGACUGUGUUGUUGUCUGACUGUGUUAGACAGACUGUGUUGUUAUCCGACUCUGUUAGACAGACUGUGUUGUUGUCCGACUCUGUUAGACAGACUGUGUUGUUGUCCGACUCUGUUAAACAGACUGUGUUGUUGUCCGACUGUGUUAGACAGACUGUGUUGUUGUCCGACUGUGUUAAACAGACUGUGUUGUUGUCCGACUGUGUUAGACAGACUGUGUUGUUGUCCUAUUCUGUUAAACAGACUGUGUUGUUGUCCGACUCUGUUAAACAGACUGUGUUGUUGUCCAACUCUGUUAAACAGACUGUGUUGUUGUCCGACUGUGUUGUUGUCCGACUCUGUUAAACAGACUGUGUUGUCGUCUGACUGUGUUAGACAGACUGUGUUGUUAUCCGACUCUGUUAGACAGACUGUGUUGUUGUCCGACUCUGUUAGACAGACUGUGUUGUUGUCCGACUCUGUUAAACAGACUGUGUUGUUGUCCGACUGUGUUAGACAGACUGUGUUGUUGUCCGACUCUGCUAAACAGACUGUGUUGUUGUCCGACCGUGUUAAACAGACUGUGUUGUUGUCCGACUGUGUUAGACAGACUGUGUUGUUGUCCGACUGUGUUUGACAGACUGUGUUGUUGUCCGACUGUGUUAGACAGACUGUGUUGUUGUCCGACUGUGUUAGACAGACUGUGUUGUUGUCCGACUGUGUUGUUGUCCGACCGUGUUAGACAGACUGUGUUGUUGUCCGACUGUGUUAGACAGACUGUGUUGUUGUCCGACUGUGUUAGACAGACUGUGUUGUUGUCCGACUGUGUUAGACAGACUGUGUUGUUGUCCGACUGUGUUAGACAGACUGUGUUGUUGUCCGACUGUGUUAGACAGACUGUGUUGUUGUCCGACUGUGUUAGACAGACUGUGUUGUUGUCCGACUGUGUUAGACAGACUGUGUUGUUGUCCGACUGUGUUAGACAGACUGUGUUGUUGUCCGACUGUGUUAGACAGACGGUGUUGUUGUCCGACUGUGUUUGACAGACGGUGUUGUUGUCCGACUGUGUUAGACAGACGGUGUUGUUGUCCGACUGUGUUUGACAGACGGUGUUGUUGUCCGACUGUGUUUGACAGACGGUGUUGUUGUCCGACUGUGUUAGACAGACGGUGUUGUUGUCCGACUGUGUUUGACAGACGGUGUUGUUGUCCGACUGUGUUUGACAGACGGUGUUGUUGUCCGACUGUGUUAGACAGACUGUGUUGUUGUCCGACUGUGUUAGACAGACUGUGUUGUUGUCCGACUGUGUUGUUGUCCGACUGUGUUAGACAGACUGUGUUGUUGUCCGACUGUGUUAGACAGACUGUGUUGUUGUCCGACUGUGUUAGACAGACUGUGUUGUUGUCCGACUGUGUUAAACAGACUGUGUUGUUGUCCGACUGUGUUAAACAGACUGUGUUGUUGUCCGACCGUGUUAGACAGACUGUGUUGUUGUCCGACUGUGUUAGACAGACUGUGUUGUUGUCCGACUGUGUUAGACAGACUGUGUUGUUGUCCGACUGUGUUAGACAGACUGUGUUGUUGUCCGACUGUGUUAGACAGACGGUGUUGUUGUCCGACUGUGUUUGACAGAUGGUGUUGUUGUCCGACUGUGUUAGACAGACGGUGUUGUUGUCCGACUGUGUUUGACAGACGGUGUUGUUGUCCGACUGUGUUUGACAGACGGUGUUGUUGUCCGACUGUGUUAGACAGACGGUGUUGUUGUCCGACUGUGUUUGACAGACGGUGUUGUUGUCCGACUGUGUUUGACAGACGGUGUUGUUGUCCGACUGUGUUAGACAGACUGUGUUGUUGUCCGACUGUGUUAGACAGACUGUGAUGUUGUCCGACUGUGUUGUUGUCCGACUGUGUUAGACAGACUGUGUUGUUGUCCGACUGUGUUAGACAGACUGUGUUGUUGUCCGACUGUGUUAGACAGACUGUGUUGUUGUCCGACUGUGUUAGACAGACUGUGUUGUUGUCCGACUGUGUUAGACAGACGGUGUUGUUGUCCGACUGUGUUUGACAGACGGUGUUGUUGUCCGACUGUGUUAGACAGACGGUGUUGUUGUCCGACUGUGUUUGACAGACGGUGUUGUUGUCCGACUGUGUUUGACAGACGGUGUUGUUGUCCGACUGUGUUAGACAGACGGUGUUGUUGUCCGACUGUGUUUGACAGACGGUGUUGUUGUCCGACUGUGUUUGACAGACGGUGUUGUUGUCCGACUGUGUUAGACAGACUGUGUUGUUGUCCGACUGUGUUAGACAGACUGUGUUGUUGUCCGACUGUGUUGUUGUCUGACUGUGUUAGACAGACUGUGUUGUUGUCCGACUGUGUUAGACAGACUGUGUUGUUGUCCGACUGUGUUAGACAGACUGUGUUGUUGUCCGACUGUGUUAAACAGACUGUGUUGUUGUCCGACUGUGUUAAACAGACUGUGUUGUUGUCCGACCGUGUUAGACAGACUGUGUUGUUGUCCGACUGUGUUAGACAGACGGUGUUGUUGUCCGACUGUGUUAGACAGACGGUGUUGUUGUCCGACUGUGUUUGACAGACUGUGUUGUUGUCCGACUCUGUUAGACAGACUGUGUUGUUGUCAGACUGUGUUUGACAGACUGUGUUGUUGUCCGACUGUGUUAGACAGACUGUGUUGUUGUCCGACUGACUCUGUAACGUAGUGAAGUAGAGCAGAGGUUCAACUCCUCAUGAUUGGGAAACAUCCUCAACAUAUCACACGUGGCAGAUUAUCUGACUUUGAUCAGAGUUUUCGGUUAUCGGCUUGCCUGUGUAAUCCAUACAAAGUGUUCUUCCUGGGAAUGGAAAUGUAGCUCAAUUUGAUCAAAUUAAUCAAGAGACACUUUGAUGUAGUUCGAGUUCAGAUUCAGGGUUCAAGUUAGAAUUUGACUUUAAAGGUGCAAUAUGCGAUUGGUACCAACAUUUUUGUGAUUUUAAAUGAAUGACAUUUACAUUUACAUUUAAGUCAUUUAGCAGACGCUCUUAUCCAGAGCGACUUACAAAUUACAAAUUACAUAAAUCCAUUGAUUAUUUUGCUAGCAGAUACCCAUAGACUUCCAGUCAUUGUGCUAACGCUAGUUAGCAUUGGCUUGCAAAACUACCCCUAACUACCUUCAUACUGGACACAGACAUAAAAAUGGUAUCCACUAGUUAAUCUGCCUCUGGGGAAGAAGAUACAAUCCUGAAGUAUCCUUUGAAGCUGGCCACUGAACAUCUUCACCUGACUAGAUGGAUUCUUCCCUAGUCAAGUGGUUGCAUUUUCUCCACUGACAGUUAGGGGAGGGAAAGAUCAUCCUGCAUCUGUACCUAAGGGAAAUUACACCUGGGAGGGAUUCAGGUGAAAUACCUGCAUGUGUGUGACGUCAGUGCAUGUGGUUGUGUGCCUUUCAUUUCAGAGGGGUUGUUGAUUUGUUAUCUACUGGUCUAUUACUGUUUAUCUGGGUAGGUUUAAUACUGUCUGUCUGGGUAGGUUUAAUACUGUCUGUCUGGGUAGGUUUAAUACUGUCUGUCUGGGUAGGUCUAAUACUGUCUGUCUGGGUAGGUCUAUUACUGUUUAUCUGGGUAGGUUUAAUACUGUCUAUCUGGGUAGGUUUAAUACUGUCUGUCUGGGUAGGUCUAAUACUGUCUGUCUGGGUAGGUCUAUUACUGUUUAUCUGGGUAGGUUUAAUACUGUCUAUCUGGGUAGGUUUAAUACUGUCUGUCUGGGUAGGUUUAAUACUGUCUAUCUGGGUAGGUCUAAUACUGUCUAUCUGGGUAGGUUUAAUACUGUCUGUCUGGGUAGGUUUAAUACUGUCUGUCUGGGUAGGUCUAAUACUGUCUGUCUGGGUAGGUCUAAUACUGUCUGUCUGGGUAGGUCUAAUACUGUCUAUCUGGGUAGGUCUAAUACUGUCUAUCUGGGUAGGUCUAAUACUGUCUAUCUGGGUAGGUUUAAUACUGUCUAUCUGGGUAGGUCUAAUACUGUCUAUCUGGGUAGGUUUAAUACUGUCUAUCUGGGUAGGUUUAAAACUGUCUAUCUGGGUAGGUUUAAUAC